GAAACGACUGCUAAGACUGGAUAGGAGAUAAGAAGGCAUCUUCUUAUUUUUAAAAGACCUAGCAAUAGGUAUGCUUAGGGAAGAGCUUGCGUCACAUUAGUUAGUUGGUGGGGUAAUGGCCUACCAAGACGAUGAUGUGUAGCCGGGCUGAGAGGUCGAACGGCCACAUUGGGACUGAGACACGGCCCAAACUCCUACGGGAGGCAGCAGUAAGGAAUUUUCGGCAAUGGAGGAAACUCUGACCGAGCAAUGCCGCGUGAACGAUGAAGUAUUUUGGUACGUAAAGUUCUUUUAUUAGGGAAGAAAAGAUGGUGGAAAAACCAUUAUGACGGUACCUAAUGAAUAAGCCCCGGCUAACUAUGUGCCAGCAGCCGCGGUAAUACAUAGGGGGCAAGCGUUAUCCGGAAUUAUUGGGCGUAAAGGGUGCGUAGGCGGUUAAAUAAGUUUAUGGUCUAAGUGCAACGCUCAACGUUGUGAUGCUAUAAAAACUGUUUAGCUAGAGUUGGAUAGAGGCAAGUGGAAUUCCGUGUGUAGUGGUAAAAUGCGUAAAUAUACGGAGGAACACCAGAAGCGAAGGCGGCUUGCUGGGUCUUAACUGACGCUGAGGCACGAAAGCGUGGGGAGCAAACAGGAUUAGAUACCCUGGUAGUCCACGCCCUAAACGAUGAGUACUAAACGUUGGAUAAAACCAGUGUUGAAGUUAACACAUUAAGUACUCCGCCUGAGUAGUACGUACGCAAGUAUGAAACUUAAAGGAAUUGACGGGACUCCGCACAAGCGGUGGAUCAUGUUGUUUAAUUCGAAGGUACCCGAAAAACCUCACCAGGUCUUGACAUGCUUUUGCAAAGCUGUAGAAAUACAGUGGAGGUUAUCAGAAGCACAGGUGGUGCAUGGUUGUCGUCAGCUCGUGUCGUGAGAUGUUGGGUUAAGUCCCGCAACGAGCGCAACCCUUGUUGUUAAUUGCCAUCAUUAAGUUGGGGACUUUAGCAAGACUGCCAAUGAUAAAUUGGAGGAAGGUGGGGACGACGUCAAAUCAUCAUGCCCCUUAUGACCUGGGCUACAAACGUGAUACAAUGGCUGUUACAAAGGGUAGCUAAAGCGUAAGCUUCUGGCGAAUCUCAAAAAAGCAGUCUCAGUUCGGAUUGAAGUCUGCAACUCGACUUCAUGAAGUUGGAAUCGCUAGUAAUCGCGAAUCAGCAUGUCGCGGUGAAUACGUUCUCGGGGUUUGUACACCCCGCCCGUCA
rnacentral:rRNA from 1 species